ensembl:lncRNA
AGAUCAUUACAUUUCCUCUCAUACACAUUUGAUUCCAGAGAAAAAGAAUGAGAACAAACUACCAUAUUUACCUAAUCAUCAAGGAACCAAUUUUGGCAGCAUUCUUUAGCAGCGAGCAUGGACGGGACUAAUUUACUAAACACACCCUCCAGUCUCAUAAUUACAUGUAAUUUUACCGGCAUAAUUAACUAAUUUAAUUACUGCUCCUCAAGAGCAUCAAUUAUUGAUAUUACGAAGCGUUCAGACAGGCUGUGGUGACACGAGGAGCAUCAGAGGAUGUGAAACACAUGCUGGCACUUUGAGAGCUUUGGCAUGGGUACAGCAAUAUACGAGUGUGUGUGUUUGUGUGUAUGUGUGUGUGAAAGAGAGAGAGAGAGAGAGACAGGGGGGAAAGAAAGAGUCUGAAUGCAAUAUCAGAGUGGCACAGACCUGGACAAGAGCCCAGACUGACAGCGGCUGCUGUAGAAAUGUGGGAGAGAGAGACAGACAGACCAAAGAAGGCCUCAGCUCAACAUCAAAGCAUAUGCUCGAUGAGGCCCCCGGUUCCACAGAUCCAGGAUGUCAGCCAGGAGAGUGGCCCCCUGAUGCUGAACAACCACUGAUGCUGCCAUUGACAGACCAUCUGUAAGUAUGUCACAUUGGAUUAUAGUUCAGAAGGGUGAGUGGAAGAAGGGGAAAGGGAUAGCACAAUAGGGAUGGAGGGAAUGAGAAAAUAGAUGAGGGGAUAUGGGUGGAAAGAUCAAACCCACUCCUGGAGUGGAGCCUCAAUCAGACAGGUUCUUAUCCUGGAAGAGAAGAUUUAAUCCUCCAAUCCGUCCCUCCGUCCCUCACUCCCUUAUCAAGCCGGCUGCCUGGCGGAGUUGCCGAGGGACACGGGUACUGUGACAACAGGGGUUUUGCGGUCCCCAUGGGAACCCAGUGAUGAGAGUGAGCUAGGUGCACAAAAACCCCAGGGUUUAGGAACAGUGUCUCAGUGGAUUUAAAAGGAUGGGCACACGCACACAUAAAACACACACACACACACACACACACACACACACACACACACACAACAAUAUGAAUUAUAAUUUAUACAAAGUAAAUAUUCUAUAGAUUGUCUGUCUUGUUGUGGGUAAUAACAAUGCAAACUUUAGCUAAUGCCACAAUACCAUAUGUAAUCUCUAAGCAAAACAACUAAGGGGAAAUAAUGGGACAACAGUUUUAAAAAGUGAUUUUUUUUUCACUUUUAUUUACAACAGGAUCUGCAUUUUCAUUUUCAAAAGAUUUUGUUAUUAGAAAUCAUAAAAACACAUUUUUCAGCAAAACCAGCCCUUACUUGGUUACAGAAAAUCUAUUUGAAUACAAUUUGAGUAACCUAUUUAAAGGGCACCAAAUUAUGCCCUUUUAUACAAUAUGUAAAGUCUCAGGUGUCCCCAAAAUGUGUUUGUGAAGUUUCAGUUUAAAAUACCCCACAUAUAAUUUAUUAUAUAAUUUUGAACAUGCCUAUAUUGAGUGGAAGCAAAAACAUGCUGUUUUCUGAGCGAACACAUCCGAAAUACAUGCACAGAAAGCGGCAGUCACGCAGCAUAUGAGUACUGAACUAAGAUCUCUUUCAUCUCUUAUUGCACUUAAACUGUCAAAUAUACACAAGUUUAUUUCAAAAACACACAUAAGUUACGAAAACAUAAUUGGUUGUGUCUGUGAAGGUAAACAGCCAGAAGGAAAUUGCAUGUUUAUAUUAGAUCUGUGUAUUAAGUAAAGCAUAAUAUACAGAACCUGUACUGCUGUCUACGCUGUUAGUGACCCAGACAAUAAAAUAAAAACAGAAAACCA